AACCACAAUAAUAUACCAUAUUAACACUUGAAUGCAAUUCAGCUCUGAGACAGACUGCUCAUGGCAGCCCAAACCUCCAGCUGCAAAGUCAUAAAGCAUGAUGACUUUAGUCCAAAUCAGAUGUUUCUCAUGCAGAAGCAUUGUGCGCACACAGUACGUGUAUGGCAAUCUCCACAGAGAAGCAUUAUAAGCACAGCCAGCAUCCGCAAACAGGGCAAUGCUGACAUCAGACAUGCAAUUUGAAUUAAUUGUAUCUAUUUCGGUCCGAAGCCUCAGAUGGCUGUUUGAAUGACGGACACUAGUACCGGGAAAAUUGCGACAAAAGAAAGAAAAAAGAAACCGGUUUCAUUUCUCACAAAUGGUACAGUUUUCAAGUGCAAGGUUGAUGGUGUCAGGAUUAUAGUUGAUCCAACACACAGUAUUAGUAUCACACCUAGGACUAAGGAUAACGUCUAACCGGACCUUAAAACGGCCGGACUUAACGUACCGGAGAAUAGUCAAAAUACUUGCAGGGGUCGGGGACACAUAACGAGACACAGCGAUGAGGAAAGCCAGAAUACCAGAAAUCAGGGAAGUCAAAUUGAAGCCAAAGUUAAAUAACAGAAAAACGCAAUCAGGAACACACUCUUAGAUAACCAGCUAGUGGAAACCACGACAGGGCACUGACAAAAAGGUAAUUUGGGUUUAAAUAACCC